UAUAGACUCUUUGUAAUCAUAAUUCCAAAAUAACAUAUAUAUUACAAGAAUACCCAUUACCACUUGUGUACACUUGGAGCAUUUCACCAAAUGAAUGAAUAAUUACAAUGUAUUAAGAAUAUUUUACACUUAGCCAAAUGAUUGUAUUCUUAAAUAACUUGCAUUUAUAUAAUACUAGAAGCAACGAGAUUUUUUUAAUAAAUAAAAUUAUUUUAUUUUUCUAAGAACAUAUAUAUACAUUGGUUAAAACUUUUAAGUCAUACAAUUGUGGGGUCUCUAUAUACAUUUUGCUGCUCACAAUCUAGUUGUUGAAGGAUCUGCUUGCUUAAAGCUUUCAAAUACUAAUUCUCAUUUGCUUGGGUCAAUGCCUGUAAAAUAUGGGAAACAAUCUAAUGUUAAUUGUCCAUAAAGAACUUCAAAGAAUCACAUGCACCACCAAACCACAUUGUUCUUUCAGUAAACCAAAAACAUGUCCACUGAAUUCAGGAUCAAAGUUGAUCUUUUAAUGGAUCAAUAAUAAUUAACCACCAAAAAAAAUUUAAUUAAUGAUAUUACCAUAUGGUAUUUGUUUACCUAAUGAUCUCUUGUCUACAAGGUGAUGCAGUGGCACCAAAAUGUUUUACAGCCUAAAAAGAAAGGGAAGGGAUUUGAGGUGUAUCCUGGCCUUGGAUGCUGAAAAUUUAAUCGGAGAUGGUUUCCAUAAGCAUAUCUAAUAAAAAUUUGACAAAAAGAAUGGGAUGCCAAUAGUCAAAAUAAACAUACAUCUAAGCACAACUGCUGCAGCAGCAUCCAAAAUGGUGCCUCCCCAGAGAAAGAGACGAUCUAUCACCAUUUUUGCUUUUAUGCCUGCUAAAAUUGAUCCAUAGAAAUAGACAUUUGCUUUGCUGAAAUUGAUCCAGAGAACUGUAACUUACCUGCUGAAAUUGAUCCAUAUAAAUAGGAUUGUCAUUAAGAUAAG
rnacentral:misc_RNA from 1 species